rnacentral:rRNA from 1 species
UACAUGGGGUGCAAACGUUGCUCGGAAUUAUUGGGCGUAAAGCGCACGUAGGCGGUUCGUUAAGUCGGAUGUGAAAGCCCUCGGCUCAACUGAGGAAGUGCACCCGAAACUGGCGAGCUUGAGUACGAAAGAGGAUCGCGGAAUUCCCGGUGUAGAGGUGAAAUGCGUAGAUAUCGGGAGGAACACCAGUGGCGAAAGCGGCUACCUGGCCCAUUCUUGACGCUGAGGCGCGAAAGCUAGGGGAGCAAACGGG